GACUAGANUCUGCCUGGUAGUGGGGGACAACGUUUCGAAAGGAACGCUAAUACCGCAUACGUCCUACGGGAGAAAGCAGGGGACCUUCGGGCCUUGCGCUAUCAGAUGAGCCUAGGUCGGAUUAGCUAGUUGGUGAGGUAAUGGCUCACCAAGGCGACGAUCCGUAACUGGUCUGAGAGGAUGAUCAGUCACACUGGAACUGAGACACGGUCCAGACUCCUACGGGAGGCAGCAGGA
rnacentral:rRNA from 1 species